UACAGAGGGUGCGAGCGUUAAUCGGAAUUACUGGGCGUAAAGCGCACGUAGUCGGCUUUGCAAGUCGGGUGUGAAAUCCCCGGGCUCAACCUGGGAACUGCAUCCGAGACUGCAUUGCUAGAGUAUGGGAGAGGGAAGCGGAAUUUCUGGUGUAGCAGUGAAAUGCGUAGAGAUCAUGAGGAAGACCAGUGGCGAAGGCGGGUCUCUGGACAGUUCCUGGACAGCUGAGGCACGAAGGCCCAGGGGAGCAAACGGG
rnacentral:rRNA from 1 species